GACGAACGCUGGCGGCGUGCUUAACACAUGCAAGUCGAACGGAAAGGCCCUGCUUUUGUGGGGUGCUCGAGUGGCGAACGGGUGAGUAACACGUGAGUAACCUGCCCUUGACUUUGGGAUAACUUCAGGAAACUGGGUCUAAUACCGGAUAGGAGCUCCUGCUGCAUGGGGGGGGUUGGAAAGUUUCGGCGGUUGGGGAUGGACUCGCGGCUUAUCAGCUUGUUGGUGGGGUAGUGGCUUACCAAGGCUUUGACGGGUAGCCGGCCUGAGAGGGUGACCGGCCACAUUGGGACUGAGAUACGGCCCAGACUCCUACGGGAGGCAGCAGUGGGGAAUAUUGCACAAUGGGCGGAAGCCUGAUGCAGCAACGCCGCGUGCGGGAUGACGGCCUUCGGGUUGUAAACCGCUUUCGCCUGUGACGAAGCGUGAGUGACGGUAAUGGGUAAAGAAGCACCGGCUAACUACGUG
rnacentral:rRNA from 1 species